CCGCGAGUGUGAAGAAGGCUUUCGGGUUGUAAAGUACUUUCAGUGGGGAAGAAAUCCUCGGGGCCAAUACCCUCGAGGGAGGACAUCACCCACAGAAGAAGCACCGGCUAACUCCGUGCCAGCAGCCGCGGUAAUACGGAGGGUGCGAGCGUUAAUCGGAAUUACUGGGCGUAAAGCGCGCGUAGGCGGCGUGAUAAGCCGGUUGUGAAAGCCCCGGGCUCAACCUGGGAACGGCAUCCGGAACUGUCAGGCUAGAGUGCAGGAGAGGAAGGUAGAAUUCCCGGUGUAGCGGUGAAAUGCGUAGAGAUCGGGAGGAAUACCAGUGGCGAAGGCGGCCUUCUGGACUGACACUGACGCUGAGGUGCGAAAGCGUGGUUAGCAAACAGGAUUAGAUACCCUGGUAGUCCACGCCGUAAACGAUGUCGACUAGCCGUUGGGGUCCUUGUGACCUUUGUGGCGCAGUUAACGCGAUAAGUCGACCGCCUGGGGAGUACGGCCGCAAGGUUAAAACUCAAAUGAAUUGACGGGGGCCCGCACAAGCGGUGGAGCAUGUGGUUUAAUUCGAUGCAACGCGAAGAACCUUACCUACUCUUGACAUCGUGCGAACUUUCCAGAGAUGGAUUGGUGCCUUCGGGAGCGCACAGACAGGUGCUGCAUGGCCGUCGUCAGCUCGUGUUGUGAAAUGUUGGGUUAAGU
rnacentral:rRNA from 1 species